rnacentral:lncRNA from 1 species
CUGAGUAUUUCAACAAGUCGUCUCUUCCAAAUUGUUAGGCAAUCGUAUGUACCUACGGGGGAAGGAUGGCCAGCCACACAAGAGAGUGAUUUUUUCUAAGGAGGAGAAGGAGGCUGUGCUGAUCGAGAUGCAUGCUGGCCAUUUCGGGAUUGAAGUGCUUGAUUGCCAAAAUCAACCUCCGCUUCUUCUGACAUGGAUUUGUCAAGAAGUACCCCGUCUAGCCUGCCAGAAGUUUGAGAGGGUGAAGACUGUGGCGUCGGAGUUGAAGCUCAUCAAAGUUGUUUCACCAUGGCACAUGAUCAGUAAGUGUCCCACUUCAAAAUUUGCUGUGAUAAGUUGUUUAGCAAAGGUUUCUUUAUUUGACCACAGCAGAGUUCAACAUUAUAGAAUGUGUGUGUGUCAGUAUCCUUACAAAUAUAAUAUCUGCAUACUGUAUGACACAGAUAUGGGUAAGAAUAAAGCAAUCUUCUCUCUAACACUUUCAAUGUUAGGGAUGGACCUCAUCAAACCCUUCCCAAAAUCCAGGAAUGAAAACAGCUGGUGUCUGAGGGCGACCGAUCACUUUAUCAAAUGGGUGAAGGCAGUACCCAUUAAGGAUCUACGGGAUCGGUGUCCCUAUACUAGGACGGUUGUUGCUAACGUGCGCUAAUGUGACUAGAAUGACGUUGUAAGUAAACAGCAAAUUUUCCAGGACAUCGAAAGCUUAAAUGAUUGUUAAUCUAACUGCUCUGUCCAAUUUACAGUAGCUAUUACAGUGAAAUAAUACCAUGCUAUUGUUUGAGGAUGGUGCAAAACAACAACAACCACAAAUGUAUCACAACAACUGGUUUGAUACUUUCACAUCUGAAGGUACAUAAUGUUAUUUCAUUCAGUAAUCUUAUUCGGAUUUGUCAUCCCGAGGGUCCCAGACAUAAAGUGUAGGAUAGUUUUUGCUUCAUAAAAUCCAUUUUUAUAUUCAUGAUUUGAACCCCUGCUUUCUCUGGUCCCACACGCACCACGCCCGGCCAUCGAGAUGUGUGAAGGUUAGUGUUUUUCUCUGUAGGGAAGCUAAUGAUCCAUCAUGUGUACCAUUCCAGGGAGUACGUCAACUUAAUAUUUGUAUUACCAUAUAAUUUGUGUAUGUUCUCUGUUGUUAUGUACUUGAAAAUUUAUAAAUUCACCAAUUUGGCACAUUUGGGCAGACUUGCAAUACUUUACUGGAUCAGUCUGAAACUUUGCACACACACUGCUGCCAUUUGGUGGCAACAAUCUAAAUUGUGCCUAAAGUCCAAUAUGAUAUUAUGGCAUUUCUCUUGCAUUUCAAAAA